GACGUAGGGCGCGAGCGUUGUCCGGAAUUAUUGGGCGUAAAGAGCUCGUAGGCGGCCUGUUACGUCUGCUGUGAAAUCCCGGGGCUUAACCCCGGGCGUGCAGUGGAUACGGGCAGGCUGGAGGCAGGCAGGGGAGAAUGGAAUUCCCGGUGUAGCGGUGAAAUGCGCAGAUAUCGGGAGGAACACCGGUGGCGAAGGCGGCUUCCUGGUCCAGCACCGACGUUCAGGCACGAAAGCGUGGGGAGCAAACAGG
rnacentral:rRNA from 1 species